CUGAUGAACUAAGCUUGAAUAAAAUUUCUGCUGAUACUACAGAUAACUCGGGAACUGUUAACCAAAUUAUGAUGAUGGCAAACAACCCAGAGGACUGGUUGAAUUUGUUGCUCAAACUAGAGAAAAACAGUGUUCCGCUAAGUGAUGCUCUUUUAAAUAAAUUGAUUGGUCGUUACAGUCAAGCAAUUGAAGCGCUUCCCCCAGAUAAAUAUGGCCAAAAUGAGAGUUUUGCUAGAAUUCAAGUGAGAUUUGCUGAAUUAAAAGCUAUUCAAGAGCCAGAUGAUGCACGUGACUACUUUCAAAUGGCCAGAGCAAACUGCAAGAAAUUUGCUUUUGUUCAUAUAUCUUUUGCACAAUUUGAACUGUCACAAGGUAAUGUCAAAAAAAGUAAACAACUUCUUCAAAAAGCUGUAGAACGUGGAGCAGUACCACUAGAAAUGCUGGAAAUUGCCCUGCGGAAUUUAAACCUCCAAAAAAAGCAGCUGCUUUCAGAGGAGGAAAAGAAGAAUUUAUCAGAAUAGGAACAACAGUUGUGAUUCCAGAGGACAGACUACUAAAGCCAGGUUUUUAUAUGGGUAAG
rnacentral:sRNA from 1 species